rnacentral:sRNA from 1 species
UCGAUCUGUUGCGGGCAAAUAAAGUGAAUGUGGGCAUCAAUUCCUCCGGCCGUCAGAAUGGCCCCUUCGCCGGCGAUUGCUUCCGUGCUCGCUCCGAUGAUCAUGGGAUCAAAUUUGCCCAGGAGAGGGUCGGGGAUGACUGAGCCGAUGCCAUUUUGAAUGCCGGGGUUUCCGGCAUGACCGAUUCCCACAAUCCGGCCGUCUCGGACUCCCAGGUCGGCUUUGAUGACUCCCAGUUCGGCGUCGAGAAUGGUGGCGUUGGUGAUGACAAGAUCGAGGCAUUCGGCAUCGAGAGCCGAGGAGGAUUGGCCCAUGCCAUCCC